rnacentral:piRNA from 1 species
UUCCUGGGACUCUUGUGUCUGAUGAUAGAC